UGACUACAAAGAUCGUUUACGACGUUAG
rnacentral:sRNA from 1 species